UACAGGGGGUGCAAACGUUGCUCGGAAUCACUGGGCGUAAAGCGCACGUAGGCGGGUCUUAAGUCAGGGGUGAAAUCCUGGAGCUCAACUCCAGAACUGCCUUUGAUACUGAAGAUCUUGAGUGCGGGAGAGGUGAGUGGAACUGCGAGUGUAGAGGUGAAAUUCGUAGAUAUUCGCAAGAACACCAGUGGCGAAGGCGGCUCACUGGCCCGAUACUGACGCUGAGGCACGAAAGCGUGGGGAGCAAACAGGG
rnacentral:rRNA from 1 species